CAGCGUCAGAUGUGUAUAAGAGACAGGUGAAUCAUCGAAUCUUUGAACGCACAUUGCGCCCCUUGGUAUUCCGAGGGGCAUGCCUGUUCGAGCGUCAUUAUGACCAAUCAAGCCUGGCUUGGUGUUGGGGUUCGCGUUUUCGCGGCCCUUAAAAUCAGUGGCGGUGCCGUCUGGCUCUAAGCGUAGUAAUUUUCUCGCUAUAGGGUCCAGGUGGUUACCUGCCAGAACCCCCCAUUUUUACGGUUGACCUCGGAUCAGGUAGGGAUACCCGCUGAACUUAAGCAUAUCAAUAAGCGGAGG
rnacentral:misc_RNA from 1 species